rnacentral:lncRNA from 1 species
GACCGCACUUCGUCUUCCGAAAAGGGUGAAUGAAGCGACGAUAGAUCGACAGUAGCAUCAUCAUAGAUUAGGAAAAAAUUGAUUGUGGAGCUGGACUGGUGCGCCGAACCUAUCAGAUUAAGAUAAUAGGAAAACAAAUGAUUCGCAAUUGCAUCGUGAGAGGAGAGAGCAUUGGUACCGUCCGAAAGAUGAGAGAUAGAGUUCGCGCUUCUCCGACAGCUAGCGCGGAGAUGGAAGAACUUGGUGUUCGCGUCG